UACGGGGGGGGCAAGCGUUGUUCGGAAUCACUGGGCGUAAAGCGCGUGUAGGCGGUCUGCUAAGUCUGAUGUGAAAGCCCGGGGCUCACCCUCGGAAGUGCAUUGGAAACUGGCAGACUGGAGUCCCGGAGAGGAGGGUGGAAUUCCUGGUGUAGCGGUGAAAUGCGUAGAUAUCAGGAGGAACACCGGUGGCGAAGGCGGCCCUCUGGACGGUGACUGACGCUGAGACGCGAAAGCGUGGGGAGCAAACAGG
rnacentral:rRNA from 1 species